rnacentral:rRNA from 1 species
GGGCCCGCACAAGCGGUGGAGCAUGUGGUUUAAUUCGAUGCAACGCGAAGAACCUUACCAGGGCUUGACAUACUACAAAUCCUUUUGAGAAAAAGAAGUGCCUUCGGGAAUGUAGAUACAGGUGGUGCAUGGCUGUCGUCAGCUCGUGUCGUGAGAUGUUGGGUUAAGUCCCGCAACGAGCGCAACCCUUAUUUUUAGUUACUAAUUCGUUAGGUUCUCUAGAAAGACUGCCGGUGACAAACCGGAGGAAGGUGAGGAUGACGUCAAGUCAGCAUGCCCCUUAUGUCCUGGGCUACACACGUGCUACAAUGGUUAAGACAAAGAGUCGCGAGCUCGCGAGAGUCAGCUAAUCUCAUAAACUUAGCCUAAGUUCAGAUUGUAGGCUGCAACUCGCCUGCAUGAAGUUGGAAUCGCUAGUAAUCGC